UAGCGAAGGGUGCAAGCUGUUACUCGGAAUUACUGGGCGUAAAGCGUGCGUAGGUGGUUCGUUAAGUCUGAUGUGAAAGCCCUGGGCUCAACCUGGGAAUGGCAUUGGAUACUGGCGAUCUAGAGUGCGGUAGAGGGCAGUGGAAUUCCCGGUGUAGCAGUGAAAUGCGUAGAGAUCGGGAGGAACAUCUGUGGCGAAGGCGACUGCCUGGACCAGCACUGACACUGAGGCACGAAAGCGUGGGGAGCAAACAGG
rnacentral:rRNA from 1 species